UACAGAGGUGGCAAGCGUUGUUCGGAAUUACUGGGCGUAAAGGGCGCGUAGGCGGCCUUCUAAGUCUUGUGUGAAAUCCCUCGGCUCAACUGAGGAACUGCACGGGAUACUGGAAGACUUGAGUUCGGGAGAGGGAAGCGGAAUUCCGGGUGUAGCGGUGAAAUGCGUAGAUAUCCGGAGGAACACCGGUGGCGAAGGCGGGUCUCUGGGCCGUAACUGACGCUGAGGAGCGAAAGCGUGGGGAGCGAACAGG
rnacentral:rRNA from 1 species